CAAAUAGCGAAAUGCGAUACCUGGUGCGAAUUGCAGAAUCCCGUGAACUAUCGAGUCUUUGAACGCAAGUUGCCCCAAGCCUUAUGGCCGAAGGCAUGUAUGCAUGGGUGUCA
rfam:Arabis alpina cultivar Pajares chromosome 4, whole genome shotgun sequence.